rnacentral:lncRNA from 1 species
UGCCUACUGAUACCUGCACCCCCACUGAGGCCCGGAAGCCUCGUGUGUCUCAGUUGUUUGCCUAUGUACCCCAGCCUGGGUAGUCUCAGGACCCAGUUUGUGAAACCCACCAAUCUUUUGGCAAGGCUCACCUGGUUGGAACUACAACAUGGCAGUGUGCUGUGCCUCCUGCUGUCACCACUGCUUUUCACCUUUUUUUUCUGCUUUCUGCAAGAUGGGAGAAAAAGAUUGUGACCACUAAGCCAGGGGGCACCUGUUGCUCUAAUAGUCCUAUAGACAGACAUGUGUUAUUAGCUUUACUGCUUGGAAGUCUAAAACUGUAGAUGGAAACAUGUUUACUUUUGUUCCCUCAACUUUUUGCUUUGAAACACAGAGGCCCCUGGGCUUGAUUGUGUCUGUCCUGACAAACUGAAGGUAAACUGAAGAUACCAUGAGUUGGAAAUGCAUUGACUACAACUUUGCCACUAAACCUCACAGCAGCAAGGGAGCAGUCAGUCACCCUCCUGGUUCUGUGACAUCUCCAUCCAAGGUCUCUUAUCUUCCAUUGAGCUGCCUCUGAUGAAGGUCGCUGACAGCAGGAUGGCUGGGAAAACGUCGGACAGCUCCAUCAAAUGGCAGCUAUGCUAUGACAUGUCAGCCAGGACCUGGUGGAUGAUGGCUUCCUACAUGAUUUCUUUCCAGGAGAGCAAGCCUGAGAGUGAUCUCACGACAGUUGGUCGGUUAUAUUUAGAGUUCUGUUGAUGACCUUUCAAGUUACUUGCAAAUACUACUCAGUCUGUAUUAAAGACAUAUCUCAUUUGUAUCUCACCACUGGUUAUUGGAGAUGCUCUAUGUUUUCUUUUAAAC